rnacentral:rRNA from 1 species
UACGAAGGGUGCAAGCGUUACUCGGAAUUACUGGGCGUAAAGCGUGCGUAGGUGGUUUGUUAAGUCUGAUGUGAAAGCCCUGGGCUCAACCUGGGAAUUGCAUUGGAUACUGGCAGGCUAGAGUGCGGUAGAGGGUAGUGGAAUUCCCGGUGUAGCAGUGAAAUGCGUAGAGAUCGGGAGGAACACCAGUGGCGAAGGCGACUACCUGGACCAGCACUGACACUGAGGCACGAAAGCGUGGGUAGCAAACAGGAUAG